AUUCCUGGCCGCGGAGCGCUGGGCGGAGGUCCAGGUGGCGACUCCCAGAGCAGCCCAGCUCCCGUCUCGCCACCCCCACCCUGCCCCAGCUAGGGGAAGAAGAUCCCGGACAGCACUGUCGAGCCCUGCCAGAUCAGAAAAAUAAAUAAAAAUAGACGUAGUGCAGGAGCGAGUUACAAGAAAGGAUUUGGUCAUCGAUUUUCUUAAAUGGAAAAGUUCUAAAGGAGGCGGCUGCCCUUCCCCUCCCCUCUCCAUCUUACCCUAGGCGAUAUAAAAUCAAAGCCCUGGAAAACAACUAUGUACUCAGCUUCCAAGGAAAACUUUCCAAGACAACCACCCUUCAGGACCAGGGAUCGAAUUCAGGACCCUGCACUUGCAAGGCAGACAUGGUGCCACUGAGCUAAAUCCAUGUCCCUAUCUGAAACUUCUAUAAAAUAAGUGUCAUUCUGAUGUCACAAAUGAGGAAAUUGGAUUUCAGAGAGUAUAAGAGAUUGCCUGAACUGAGAUAGCUGGAAGGUAUGAGGAGCUUGGCACCCUGGAGGAGUCCACAUGGGGAUUUGAGGUGAUAAGAGGAGCUCCUGGAUUUGCUCUCUUCUGUGAGCAUAAAUG
ensembl:lncRNA